rnacentral:lncRNA from 1 species
UAAUAUGCAGUACAAAUAAACAUUUCCACAGGAAAGAAACUCAUGGACUUGGAAAACAGACUUGUGUUUGCUAAGGGUGAGGGGAUGGAGUGGUGUGGACUGGGAAUUUGGAGUUAAUAGAUACAAACUAUUGCCUUUGGAAUGGAUAAGCAAUGAGCUCCUGCUAUGUAGCACUGGGAACUAUAUCUAGUCAUUUAAGACAGAGCAUGAUGUAGGAUUUGUGAGAAAAAAUAUGUGUGUGUGUGUGUGUGUGUGUGUGUGUGUGCAUGUGAGAUUGUGUCACUUUUCUGUGUAGCAAAAAAUUGACAGAGCACUGUAAACCAAGUAUAAUGGAAAGAAUAACAGUAAUUUUUAAAAGAAUAUUUCUGCCCCUUCCUCUUUUCUCUCUUCCUGGAACUCCUAUUGCAUAUAUAUCUAUGUCUAUAUCUAUAACUAUAUCUAUAUCUAUACCAUCUAUAUAUAUCUAUAUCCUACAGGCUCAUUUUUCCUUAUUAUUUUUACUUUCAUGCUUCCCACUCGAUAAUCUCAAUUGACAUGUUUUCCAGUUCUAUGUGGUUAGAUAUUUUCUCAUACUUUCCUUUAGUUUCUUAGAGAUAUUUUUCUAUAGUUCGUUAAAAAUAUUUUAAUUGAUUCAUUUAAAGUCUUUAUCUAGGAAAUCCAAUGCCUAGAAUUCCUCAUAAACAAUAUCUAUUGACCAUUUUUUCUCAUUUAGAUAAGCCAUACUUAAUUGUUUCUGUUGCUCAUACUUAUUUUUCCUGAAAUCUAGACAUUUGAAAUAAUACUAUGUAGCAACUCUGAAAAGUUUAUUUUUCCUAUCCCUAGAAUUUAUUAUUGUUGCUGUUUGUUGUUAUUGCUACUUCUAGUAGUUGGUUUUUGGACUUUUCUGAACUAAUUCUGUUAAAUCUCUAUUAAUUUUUCUUUGAACACAUGUUUCUUCUCAUUUUUUUUAGUGGCCAGCUAAUGAUUGGAUAUAUAUUUACUCCAAUUUAUAGAACCAAUUAUUCUCCCAAUCUUUACAAAAGAGUUCUGUGUGUAUGUUUGUGUAUACCUGCAAUACUCAGCCAGGAAGUUGAAAUUUCUGCUUAAGCCUUCACUUAAUUCUUGUGCAGAGACUCAAAGUGAUCUAGAGGUGAGAACUUGGGCCUCUCUUUUUUCCUGAGUAUGUGUACAUCCCUGGUCAUAUAGCUAGCUCUGCAUAUUUGGGAGGCCUACCAGAUUUACAGGAAAGUGUUGGAGUUUUUCAAAGACGUCUAUAUACUUAUUGCCCAGAUUUUCCAACUCACUUAAUUUUUUUUUUGUUACCUGUUGUUUGCUUCAAAUAUUAUCUACCACCUAAAUUACCUAUGAAAAACAAUUGCGACUGACUUUUUCAAAACAAAACUACCCCAUGAAAAUAUCACUUUUCACUGAGCGAACUCCUACUCAGGCCAAAUAAAGAAAACUUGUGAGUGUGUGCUUCCAGGAAACACCAGACUAGGCAAAUUAUGAUAAUUCCCUUGGAUUGGGACCUUGCAGGAUUUCCAACUUUUUUUCACCUUUCCACUAGCUGUCAAUAUGCUAGUUUUCACUGCAACUCUACGUAGUUAAAUUUCAAGGCUACUGUGAGGGUUGGGAGUGGAAAUGAAAGUAGAUUAAGUUAAAAUGCCACAAAAUUCACUCUUAUUGCCAAGGUUCAUUAUUUUAUUUUUAAAGCACUAUUUCUGGAUUUAUGAAAAGCUUUGGCUGAUUUCCAUAGUUAUAAAAGUGUUAAUUCUGACAAUUUUUGUCUUUGAGCUCAUAACUUGAAUGGUAGAGAGGAAUUCUAGAGUUUCUUACACCACGAUGCUUAUUGAUAGAACUCAAUUAAAAUUUAUUUUACAGUGCUUGACUGAUAGUUUCAACAUCUGAGUCAUCUCUGUAUCUGGUUAUGUUGGUUUCUUUAACUCUCGAUGAUGGGAUUUUUUUCCCUUUCUUUGUGUACCAUAAAUUUGAAUUGAAAGUUGAACAAAAGGUAUAUAAUAAGAGUAUAAAUUGAAGUAAAUAGCAUUUCACCCAGAAAUUGGCCCACUUCUUCUAUUAGGUCAUUGCUUUUGGAGUUUGGGGCAAUCAAGUCAGGAGUUAAUCUUUAUUUGGGUUUUAUGAUUGGUGUUAUUAUCUUCACUGCACCAUAGGCUUCAACUUGCUUUAAAUUUCUCCAACAGAUGUCUGUCAUUACUUUCCACUUGGUGUUUGUCUGUGGUUCCAGAAGGUUUUUCUUAUUUUUCCUAUUUCAUUUUCAGCAUUCAUUAUCCCUUCCAUAACUAUGCUAUGGAAAUAGUCUCUCUCCACAGUCUCAAUUAUCUCCAAGUAGCAAAUUUUGGUUGCUUAUUACUUGGAACUUUCUUUACGGUGGACUCAUUCUCCUGAUCCAGUCUAAGUAUUGGGCAUAGCUUGUGUUCCUGAACUGCAGGGUGAGGUUUUCUCAGAAUUCAAUAUGCUCCUCCAUGAUAGUCCAUUAUGUCUUGAUAUUGUGAUAAAUAAUCUACAGGAAAGAAUGUUCUGACUCUUCACAUAGUAGCAGAUAUCUGUUUUGUGGUUCACUAGCCUGAGUUCAAGAUGUCUUUCCUCCAGGAUCAGAAUGGCUUUUGCCUAUACCAUACCGCCUAAAAGUGGAUCUUAGCCUAGCCCCUGGGGGUUUGAAGAAGGGUUUCCAGUUACUCCUGAAGAAGUCAGUGGAUUUUGCCUCUACACCUCCUUUCACAGCUUAAGUCUUAUGCUAUGUAUAAGAGAAGGUACAAAGAUGUAUUUUAUUCCUGUCACAGGGACUGUCAAUCAUAUUUUGCACCUUUUUCUCUUUAGCCUCUUGCCCAAUCCUCAAACUUUCUCAUGAUUGUUUCAUAAAUGCCUAUGGAGAAGAGUUUGUGAGAUAUUUUAAACUUCUCUGUAUCUGCGGGUUCCCAUUUAUUCUAAAUUAAUACACAAAUUCACAUUAGGCCUUUAAGAAUUAGUUAAACUAUUAACUCUUUAAUUUUUCCCACUUCUAGGAUAGUCAUCUCUUCCUCUUUUGCUUUCAAAGAUGGAGAACUUCAUGUUUUCCAGCAUUCCUUUGAGGGGCUUUCAUCACUUAGCAUUUGGCUUCCUUGGUCAAUUUGCAACAUUAGUUCUUUUAUGGGUUAAAUUGUUACUUGAAAGUUCUAGUUCAAGAUAGUAAUGUAGGAGUAUCCUUAACACACCUCCUCCCACAAACACACUGAAUCUACACCUGCAUAAAAUUUCUCUGGAAAAAAAAUAACACCCAAGCCAGCUGAGCAACCUCUACACAUUGGGCAAAUGAGAACAAAGAAUGUAGGAUAGGCUGAGUCAAAUAUCUUACUGGAAAUCCCAACAUGCAUGGACAACUUACAACAAGGAAGAAAGUCAAAACCCUAAGCUUCUCUCUAACAAAGAAAAGGCUUGACCUCUCAUCUGGCACCCCAACUUUUAAGGCCUAUACUUGAGAGGCAAGCCCUCAAAACAUUUCCUUUUUAAGUCAAUUGGGCUUUCAUCCAGGAAACACAUUAUGUUAUAGCAAACUGAAAAUAGUUCUUGUCACACUUGUGGACCCACUCAGGCCAGGGCCAAGGGAAGAGGUAGUCAAAUGAAACUCUCCCAUGAAAAAGGCACAUUUGCUUAUGUUAAAGCAUUAGCCUGAGGGGUACAUAUCUAAUUUAACAUAUAUCUAAGGGACCACUAAAAGACUCUGCAAAGGUAGAAGCUAGUGGAUAUCAUCUUUGGACUCUUCCUCUUCCUCAUGCCAGGUCACCAGUGUCCCCUAGAGAGGAGAUUCUACCAUAGUAAAUCACCCCUAUUGGGGAGGUUGCCAAUCAGGGAACACCUCUAGAUUGCUUGUCCCUAGAGGCCAAUGAGACUUAUGCUCAUAGAUCUCAAAGGACUAUAACAAACAAAGGAAAAUAUUUUAAGUGGCUGCCACCCCCAUGGCACAGCAUAAAGGCAAAGAUGGAGGGGUCCAUUCUUUCUGUGAAAGAAGUCAAUUAGUUUAGUUUUAUAGUUACAGCUUAGGGGCUUCUAAUUAAAUAUGAAGGACCGAUUGUGAUUCACUCCAGCGACCUUGUUCAUGGGCCCCAUAUGUAUGCACUCUGUCUGCUACAUCAUAAAGAUACUCAGUGAGUUUGGGAAAAGAAUAAGUGAGUAAAUUGAGAGUUUCAACAAAGAGAUAAAAAAUAUAAGAAAUCAUCAUAUAGAAUUCACACAAGAGGAUAUUACAUCUACUGAACUGAAAAAUACAUUAGAAGUGUUCAACAGCAGACUAGAUUAAACAGAAGAAAGGCCUAGAGAUAGAGUUUUCAGAGAAGUAAAAGCUAAAAGAAUUCAUCAGUACCAGAUUGGCCUUAUAAGAAAUAAUAAAGGAAAUUCUCUAAUCUGAAAUUAAAGGCAUUUAUUAAUAAUAGAAAAAUAUAUGAGAUAUAAAUCUCACAGGUAAAGGUAAAUAUAUAAUAAAAUUUAGGAAAAUCUAAUAUUGAAAAAAUGAUGAGUUAAUCACUUAUAAAGCUAAUAUGAAGUUUAAAAGACAAAAGUAGUAAAAUAUCUAUAACUAAAAUAAGUUAUUAAGGGAUUCACAAGAUAAAAAGAUAUAAAAUGUGACAUCAAAAACAUAAAAUAUGGGGGGAGUAAAAAUGUAGAUCUUUGCCCUACAUUCAAACUUAAGUUGUUAUCAACUUAAAAUAGGUUGUUAUAAAUAUGAAUUGUUUUAUAUAAGCCUGAGGAUAACCACGAAACAAAAACCUAUAGUAAAUACAGGAAAGAGAGAGAAGGAAUCUGAGCAUAAAACUACAGAAAAUAAUCAAAUCAUAAAGGAAGAGAGCAAGAGAAGAAAGGAAAAAAGUAAUUGUAAAACAGCCAGGAAACAACAAAAAAAAUGGCAAUAGUACAUGUUUAUCAAUAAUUACUUUAAAUGUAAAUGGUCUAAAAUAUCCAAUAAUAAGACAUAGAGUGUGUGUAUGUGUGUAUGUAUGUGUGUGUAUAUGUAUAUACAGUUUUCUAUAUUCCUGAAACAUUGUAAAUCAACUAUACUUCAAUUAAAAA